AUUCGCCAGUGCAUUGAUUUAUUUAUCAAACACUCUCACUAUCUCUUUGAAGGUGGAAAACAUCAAGUCGGUGUUAACAUUCUCGGUGCAUGAAGAGACUGUAGGCAUGAUCCCCCCCGGAAGAUGAGCCUCCUUCCCACUCCGGCUUCAUAAGGGCACUAAAAGGACACCAGCCCAGUGAGACCAUUCACCUGGGCAAGUCAGGCGGUGAUGCACGGUGGCCGGCACUGAGGGAGAGUUGGGAAGACUCUCUCAGAACCAUCGACAGAAGAUUACUUUUUACAGAGGGAAUCCAUUAGAGCCAAUAAGAGCGCUACAGUUAUCAAGAAACAAAAUAAACACCUUGGAGGCUUUGAUAUUAUGUUUAAAGGACAACGCAUUUACAUUUUUCACAAAAGUGUAAACAGGAAAACAGUGUGCCUGGCAGGGGAGGGCGGCUGAAGCAGACACUGGCACGAAGAACAGCGUCUUCAGUCACUGUGGCUAAGGGAAUAGGAAAUGCCAAAAAGGCCUUUGGGAGAAGCGUAUUUGCUCUACACUUGCAGCAGCCAAAAGAAGCUUUGUUGCAAGCAAUGGAAGGGUAAGGAAUUGCCUAGACUCCAGAAGCUAAUGUCAACUUGGUGAUUGAACUUGCUGUCUACCCUGAGGGCAAAGGAAACCGUUUCUUUGCCGUGUGUAUUGUCUUCAGGUUCUUAACCUCUAGGCUCAGAACAAGAGCAGGGAAGAGGUUAAGGGAAUGAGGUUCAGCAGAGACCUCCAGCUUGGCUGCUCUGGGAGCUGCGAGUUUAUUGGAGCUAAUGACUCAGAACGGUUUUGAACUCUCUGCGGGGUUCAUGUCUCCACGGCUUGCCCUGCAUUUGGCACAGAUACCCAAGCAUUGGCUGGAAUAACCAUUAUGAUAAUACGGUGGAGGAGUCCGUUUCUUUCCUAGUGAUUGCCCUUAGGAUGAGAUGGAGACAAAACCCCCAAUUGGUGAUCGCUCUGAUGUGGAUUUUAAUGGUUCUAUAAAUGAUUAAGUUGGACAUAUUCCAAAGUGGAAAAGUCAUGAAUAAAAUUUAAGAUUUUUUUCCUUUC